rnacentral:rRNA from 1 species
AUUGAACGCUGGCGGAAUGCUUUACACAUGCAAGUCGAACGGCAGCACGGGAGCUUGCUCCUGGUGGCGAGUGGCGAACGGGUGAGUAACAUAUCGGAACGUAUCCAAUAAUGGGGGAUAACUAAGCGAAAGCUUGGCUAAUACCGCAUACGCCCUGAGGGGGAAAGCUAGGGAUCUUCGGACCUGGCGUUAAUGGAGCGGCCGAUAUCUGAUUAGCUAGUUGGUGAGGUAAAGGCUCACCAAGGCGACGAUCAGUAGCUGGUCUGAGAGGACGACCAGCCACACUGGAACGGAGACACGGUCCAGACUCCUACGGGAGGCAGCAGUGGGGAAUUUUGGACAAUGGGCGCAAGCCUGAUCCAGCCAUUCCGCGUGAGUGAAGAAGGCCUUCGGGUUGUAAAGCUCUUUCGCAAGGGAAGAAAGAUUACGCUCUAACAUAGCGUGAUUAUGACGGUACCUUGAUAAGAAGCACCGGCUAACUACGUGCCAGCCGCCGCAGUAA